rnacentral:lncRNA from 1 species
GGAGGCUCCGCCCCCGUCUCCUGGUUGGCUCUGCUUCCUCCGCCUCCGGAGAGGACACGCCCCUCCGCCCCGCCAAGCAGCCCUAAUUGGAGGCGAGGAUGGGGGGUUUCUGCCUCCCUUGCUUGGUUUCUUACGUCAGUUAGGUGUGGUUUUCAUUUAAUACUUAGAUUUUAAUAGUUGAUUUCUUCAAAUGGGCUUUAGCAUUAUUUAUUUUGCCUCUGAUGACUCUGUCUUCUGGUCUAAAGUAUUAAAUCCCUCUCUGUUUUUCAAUUUACAGCCUGGCUGCUCUAGGUUCACAAAGCUUUUCCAUUAAAGGUCUCUCUCCUCUGCCAAUAUUUAUUGUUAGAGUCACUAUUUGCCCAGAAGGUACUGUCUGCUGCAUCUUCUGGGAAAUGAAAUUUAUUUCUCCUGACAUUGAUGGGGGUGACAUCACUCAAGCACUGUUUACAUCACCAAGUCGCAUAAGCCCUGAGCCCAAAGGCUCCAACGGAUGACAAAGAGAAAAGAGAAGAUACUGCAUCCAAGAAAAAAGAACAGACUCAAACAGAAAAGGAAUAUUCAAAAGCCAAAAUGGAAUUCUUAGAAAUUAAAAACAACAGAAAUGAGAAACUCAACAGUAAAUCUCUCAGAAAGUCAAGCAAAAAGACAAAGAGAUAGAAAAAUUGGAGGGAAAAUAGCAAGCCAAAUUAGAAGACUAGUCCAAGAAUUCGAAUAUCUAAGUAAUAGGAGUUCCAGAGAGAGGGAGAGAAAAAAACAAAAACAAAAACAGAAAACGGAAAACAGAAAAGAGGUAAUCACAAAUGAAAUUACCGUACUCGCUCCUAAUCCGUGAAGGUACGUUCCAAGACCCCAGUGGAUGUCUGAAACCACAGAUCAUGGUCCUCCGAGAAGCAGACACCAAAACAGAAUUUGAUGUGCAAGAAAUUUACUGGGGAAAAUGCCUAUGAAAGAUAAAGGAGGAAGAAGCAGGAGUGGAUGGGGAGAGCCUUCACACAAACGAGGUGAGGCAGGUCUGACUCAUGUGAAAGGAGAGCAGGAAGGAAGAAUAUCAGCCUGCAGGGCAGUUUGGAGAAAGUCUCCUCCAGGUCCAGAAAGAACCUCCGAAGCCUGCAUGGCCUGUCGGAGGAGUCCCACAAGACUCACAAUAUUGACCUGUUCAGUGAUGUUGAGGGAAGACUGGCCAUAAAAAUUCAGAUCAUGGCCUGGGAAGUCCUAUCAUAACACCCGGAAGGAAGACAAACUGAGACAAACAACAUGCCCAGUGGUGCAGUUUCUGUGUGCUUUUAAACACCUGCAUGAAGAAAUCUUGUGUGCUGACUGUCUUCACUAGGAACCUGAAAUGACAGUUCUAUCUUAAAUG